rnacentral:rRNA from 1 species
AUCUCUGUAGAGUCUGCAUAUCAAUAAGCGGAGGAAAAGAAACUAACUAGGAUUCCCUCAGUAACGGCGAGUGAAGCGGGAAGAGCUCAAAUUUGAAAUCUUCAAGGUUCUACCUUGACGAAUUGUAGUUUAAAGAAGUGUUUUCUGUUGGAGUUUUGGUAAAAGUUCUUUGGAAUAGGACAUCAUAGAAGGUGAGAAUCCCGUAUUUGACCAUUAUUUCCAACUUUGUGAUACACUUUCAAAGAGUCGGAUUGUUUGGGAAUGCAGUCCAAAAUGGGUGGUAAAUUUCAUCUAAAGCUAAAUACUGGCGAGAGACCGAUAGCGAACAAGUACCGUGAGGGAAAGAUGAAAAGAACUUUGAAAAGAGAGUUAAACAGUACGUGAAAUUGUCAAAAGGGAAGCGUUUGACACCAGUGUUGUUUUUCCGAAAAUCAAUUAAGAAUGUUUUAUUUUUGAGGAGUUAUGACUUCAUCGGCUUGCUCCUUUCUUUAUGGAACUUUCUUAAUGCACUUUUCGGUUAACAAGUCAACAUCAAUUUCUUUUGUUGUAAAAGAGUAUGAGGAAGGUGGCUUUCUUUUCGGAGAAAGUGUUUAUAGCCUUGUACUUCUGCAAUCGGAGAGAUUGAGGUCUGCAGCGUAGAUCCUUCGGGGUUAGAUACACUUGUGCUAAGUUAUAGCUUUUCAUAGACAACUUGUUGAUUAUGAUUAGUCUUGUAGCUUACUCGCUUGUGCUAUUUUACCUACGCUUAGGAUGUUGAGUAGCGACAUACGCAC